GGCCCUAUGGUUUAGUUGGCUAAAGUGCCUAUCUAGUAAACAGGAGGUCCUGGGUUCAACUCCCAGUAGUGCCU